UUCAGGUAAAGGUAACCUGAAUGAAGGUCAUUACCGAGUGUCGGUCUGCCCCCGGGCCGGUCCCACCUCCCGCCCUUGCAUACCUGAUGACUGUGCUAGCGCGGUGCUCCCCCCCCGGGGGGGGUUGCCUGAUACCACACCCAACCUCUUGGGGGACGUGUCGUCUGAGCUUGAUACGCACAACCCUAUGUAAAUCUUUCAACUGUGGAUUUCUUGCUUCCUGGUUUAAUGACGGCCGGGCGCCAGCCGACUUCUCCAAACCUUUAUUUUACCAGGUUGACCUCGGAUCAGGUAGGGAUACCCGCUGAACUUAAGCAUAUCAAUGAGCGGAGGAAGUCCGAGCGUCAUUGCUGCCCUUCAAGCCCGGCUUGUGUGUUGGGUCGUCGUCCCCCCCGGGGGACGGGCCCGAAAGGCAGCGGCGGCACCGCGUCCUGGUCCUCGAGCGUAUGGGGCUUUGUCACCCGCUCGUUUAGGGCCGGCCGGGCGCCAGCCGACGUCUCCAAACCUUUUAUUUUACCAGGUUGACCUCGGAUCAGUAGGGAUACCCGCUGAACUUAAGCAUAUCAAUAAGCGGAGGAA
rnacentral:rRNA from 1 species